GAUGAAGAACGUAGCGAAAUGCGAUAAAUAAUGUGAAUUGCAGAAUUCAGUGAAUCAUCGAAUCUUUGAACGCACAUGGCGCCUUCCAGUAUCCUGGGAGGCAUGCCUGUCCGAGCGUCGUUUCAACCCUCGAGCCCCCGUGGCCCGGCGUUGGGGAUCUGCCCAGGCAGUCCCCGAAAACCAGUGGCGGACCCGUUACAGGCCCUUCCCUUGCGUAGUAGCAUUCGCCUCGCAUCGGGAGCCGGCGGGCUUCCAGCCUCUAAACCCCCAUCAAGUCCGCCCCGGCGGCACCAAGGUUGACCUCGGAUCAGGUAGGAAUACCCGCUGAACUUAAGCAUAUCAAUAAGCGGAGGA
rnacentral:misc_RNA from 1 species